GAUGGUGGAGGGCAAUCUUGUCUGCAACAUCCGUCACCUCAUUUUGACAGGGUUAACCCAGCUGAUCUGGUUGGCUAGAUGGUUGUUCCCUCUCUACCUCAUUGGUUCGUGAGUGUUCUCUCAAAGCUGCAUGGUCACUGGAAGAGGACAACCAGAUAGAAGAUUAUAUGAAUCUUUGCUCAAGA
rnacentral:snRNA from 1 species